rnacentral:rRNA from 1 species
AGAGUUUGAUCCUGGCUCAGGAUGAACGCUGGCGGCGUGCUUAACACAUGCAAGUCGAACGAAGCAUUUAGAACAGAUUAUUUCGGUAUGAAGUUCUUUAUGACUGAGUGGCGGACGGGUGAGUAACGCGUGGGUAACCUGCCUUGUACUGGGGGAUAGCAGCUGGAAACGGCUGGUAAUACCGCAUAAGCGCACAAUGUUGCAUGACAUGGUGUGAAAAACUCCGGUGGUAUAAGAUGGACCCGCGUCUGAUUAGCUAGUUGGUGAGAUAACAGCCCACCAAGGCGACGAUCAGUAGCCGACCUGAGAGGGUGACCGGCCACAUUGGGACUGAGACACGGCCCAGACUCCUACGGGAGGCAGCAGUGGGGAAUAUUGCACAAUGGAGGAAACUCUGAUGCAGCGACGCCGCGUGAGUGAAGAAGUAAUUCGUUAUGUAAAGCUCUAUCAGCAGGGAAGAUAGUGACGGUACCUGACUAAGAAGCUCCGGCUAAAUACGUGCCAGCAGCCGCGGUAAUACGUAUGGAGCAAGCGUUAUCCGGAUUUACUGGGUGUAAAGGGAGUGUAGGUGGCCAUGCAAGUCAGAAGUGAAAAUCCGGGGCUCAACCCCGGAACUGCUUUUGAAACUGUAAGGCUAGAGUGCAGGAGGGGUGAGUGGAAUUCCUAGUGUAGCGGUGAAAUGCGUAGAUAUUAGGAGGAACACCAGUGGCGAAGGCGGCUCACUGGACUGUAACUGACACUGAGGCUCGAAAGCGUGGGGAGCAAACAGGAUUAGAUACCCUGGUAGUCCACGCCGU